rnacentral:rRNA from 1 species
AUUGAACGCUGGCAGCAGGCCUAACACAUGCAAGUCGAACGAGUGGCGGACGGGUGAUUAAUGUCUGGGAAACUGCCUGAUUGAGGGGGAUAACUACUGGAAACGGUAGCUAAUACCGCAUACCCUCGGAUGUGCCCAGAUGGGAUUAGCUAGUAGGUGGGGUAAAGGCUCACCUAGGCGACGAUCCCUAGCUGGUCUGAGAGGAUGACCAGCCCAACUGGAACUGGGAAACUGUCCAGAAUCCUACGGGAGUCAGCAGUGGGGAAUAUUGCACAAUGGGCGCAAGCCUGAUGCAUCCAUGCCGCGUGUAUGCAGAAGGCCUUCGGGUUGUAAAGUACUUUCAGCGGGGAGGCGUUAGCCGCAGAAGAAGUACCUGCUAACUCCGUGCCAGCAGCCGCGGUAAUUA